UGCUAGAAAGGAAAGGAAUAAGGAGGAGAUAAAAUGACGCCGAGGCCCUGAACUGUUCAUGGCAUCCGCGGCUCAGCCAAGCUGUUGUUUUAAAAGAGCAAUAAAAAUGAAUUAUGACUAAACGCCUUCUAACUUAAUGCUUUCGGACGGGGAUCCCCGGCAAAUAACGUAAGAGGAUUUUUAUUUGUGCAUGUGUUCCUGCAAUUGAUCUCUUUGAUGACAUUCUCAUUCAUAGAAAGCGUUUGAUUUAUGAGCGUAGGACGAAUCGCAUCCAGGAGCUGCGCAGCCCUGGCCGCUGCCGGGACGCCCUGCUCCGCGCUGAGCUUGGGGCCAGAAACCAGCCAUAGUCCCCACACUCCGCCGCCGCAGCUGAGAUUUAGCGGAGGAAGGGGCGAGGGAAGGUAGGGAGCAAACCUAUGAAGAAACAUCGCGUUGUCAUUGGAACUUCCAAGCCUUUGCUGUUAAGAGCCAGGUUCUUAAAUCAACCCGCCCCACACACAUGUUGCUUACAUGCUGCGUUUUCUCACGGUCUGUUUUGCCUGAACCCAUCAACAGCUGGGAGAUUAAUCAACCACACUGAAAAUGUGGAGGGAUUUAUGGGGGAGGGGGUUGAAAUGUGGGUGUUUGAAACAAAAGUGUAUAAACAAAUGAAUUGUUGAUAACUUAGUUAUUGACCUGGAGACUGGUAGCUUAUUAAAGAAACUCCGUGUUACUCAUUCCUGGAGUUGGGGGUUUCUGUAGGCACUUUAUUUCUCCACUUUCAAGAGCUUGGGCUUGGCCCAAAUCUUAGACUGUCCAAUUCUGCCUCUAUUACCAAUUUAAAUCUAUGGCUUGAACCUGUGCACUGAAAAUCAAAUCCUUUAAAAAGAAAGAGGAGAAGAAGAAGCAA
rnacentral:lncRNA from 10 species